CCAGGACACCUCUUCUUCCCCUCAUCUCUGUAUUAUCUCUCCACGGAAACCAGAGAUCGUGCACCACAGCUCCAACCUAGAAGACCUAGGACCAGAUCACAAGGAGGAUAAGGGGAGCGACUGCCUGUGGAAGAACCACUGCUCUUGGGUUCGUUGGUGGCCGAUUCUGUGGAUAUCCGCAGUGGCGGCAAGCGGCAAACACCAUGGUGGACAACCUGUGUGCCAAGAAACGAAUCCCUGGCGCUGCAUAUAUCCUCGCCAUCGCCUCGCCGAGCCUGUCAGCACCCGUUGUCCAUACCGACGCUGGAGAUGAGAAAUUGCGUAGGAGACCAAGUUCAUCCCCAACUAAUUCGAGAUGUUCCAAAUCCCCAAUCAGUCAGUUUGAAUCUUCUCUGGAGUUCUUUUGGCUGAAUUGAAUCUUCGACAUUGACCUUCAAUGAUUUUGAUUGCUCUCCGAGUAUCUCAGGCAAGUCCAUUCUUGCAUAUCCUUGAUUAUUUUUAUCAAAGUAUUUGCCAAUCUACUAUUGUAUAUCACCUGCAUCAAACAAAAAUGUAUCUUAUAAAUAAUAUGACAUGCAUGUUGAUCGGCUGAUGGAGCAGCCGGUGAACUAUUAUGGCUGGUAGUCGAACCCUGUGUGGAGGCUGUGAAGCCAUUGGAAGGCGGGUUCGACUACAAGGGAUAUCACCAUUAGGAUCUAAUCAACAAUUGCCUUCUUGAGCUCAAGCGCCGUAGUGACCGCGUUGACCAUAUGACCCUGACUGGGAAGGGCGGAGCUGAAGUAAUUCCAUCUUACGGCAUAUCUCCCAGGGAUGGCAGUUGGGGUGUGACCUCUACUGUAGGCGACCAACUGUCUAAACAAACUAAAGGCCUCUACUGAAGACAUUAAACUGAUCGGGCAGGUAGCUGGUUUUGCCAGCUACGAUGUGAGAUAUGUCAAAGAAGUUGGGUGAAAAGGCUUCGUGUCCACGGGUGUGUGAAUGGGGCUAGCUACCUCGGAAACACAACCAUGGGCGUCUGUGGGUAAAGUAACGCACCUCUGCAGAGUGUAAAAAAUUGUGGCAUUGUCACUCCCUGUUCCGGGAAGGAGCUGCGAACGUGGCGAGAAAGGAAUCCACAGGGGAUUCUAACAGCUCGUGAGGCAAGAAGAUCAUAGAUUUCAGAAAUAAAACUUGAACUCUUUCCUCAGAAAUGUUUUCGAAAAUUGUGAGUUGAUGGACCAUUGGUCCUAGUAGUUGAUAGUGCAUGAAAACUGUUUUGUUAUAUAUCCUGGACUUGUUGAGUACUUCGUGUACUCAUCCCUUCCUACAAAAUCCCCCUUCUUAGAUUGUGAGCUGGUGGAUGCGGGAGUAGAAUAUUCGGACCUCCAGGAGGAGAAGACCGAGGAGCAGGCAACCGCCGAAGGAUGAGUCAACUACUACAUGGACUUCAAUGGCAACCUAGUGCUGAUCGGUAGAGUUAGUAGUAUGGGUUGCGGCAAGAUAGUAGUUCAGAGUGUUGUUCAGUAUUAACUCGGUUAUAAUUUCCUUGUUCUUUUGGAGUUGUUGUUGUACUUGGUAGCAGAACCUUGUAAUAUGUUUCAGUUUGGAUCUUCUUCAAAACUUGUAAUAUAAUUUUGUACUAUGGACGCUCCAA